ACACAAUAUAAAACACAAAAUUGGGGUUUAUCACCCCAUCAUCUAUGUCAAUAAGGUCUUUGAAUCUUCACCGGCUAUCUUGCUGAUGAGGCUCUCAGUCGAAACUGUACUUUGGAGAUGAGAGAGGAUGGGGCACUCAAUUGAGCUUACUUCUACGCUUGAUAAAGCACUUUUAAUUGGUCUCUGCUUUUGAACUUAGAAAAAAGAGAGUUUGUGGAAAGGAAGCAAGCAAUGUGUUACAUGGGGAAUACGUUAAGCCGGGCCCUCCUAUUCCCAAAACAAAUUAAAGUGUUUUAAGUUCCUAUCUCUCAGGUUGACUCUAAUCACUCUAUGAGUCUCUGCCUUUAUUCUUUCAUUAGUUUAAUUUAAUUUGUUUUCAUGCUUCGAAUUAGUUAACUGGUUCUAAUAAUGGAGGAGAGCAUGUGAAACAUUAUGUAGAAGAUUAACUUGACAUGUUGCACAUGUAACACGGUAUGCACUCUGUAUUGAUAGUGGCUUCCACUUUCAAGUGAUUUCACAUGUACGUUUUUUACACAGUUAUUUAUUUAUUGCAUUGGUUAGUGGUUUUGAAAACUUGUACUAUGGAGAUGAGUAAAAACUUCUAUCAAAUGUGGAGAGAAAUUUAUUAUUCAUAAUUACUUGGUAAGUAUACCUUUUGUUUGACAGAACAAGAUAUCUUUGGACUUACAAUUUAUGAUCUCAACAGUUUGUGCUUGUGAGUCAUCCGUCUAUGAAAAGGAAUUGUAGUGGAGGAGGAGAUGGAUUAAAGAUGUAACUUCUUCAUUGUAUCAAUGCUAAGGAAGCUAGCAUUCCAGAGUUCAUGUUCAAUUCACUCGAUCAUGUUCAACUUUGUUUCCUGACAGGAGAGUUUGAGCUCUGGGAGUGCUAAAAUGGUGACAGCAUGCUACCUUGAGGGCUCAAGAAUAUUUUGAUUCAUAGAGACACUAAUCUAUGUUAGACUACUUUUGGUUGAACUUGUGCAAGAAAUAUAACUUGUAGAACUAAUCAAUGUACUCACUAAUGUUAUUUUGUUCUAA